rnacentral:rRNA from 1 species
UGGGGAAUUUUGGACAAUGGGGGAAACCCUGAUCCAGCCAUCCCGCGUGUGCGAUGAAGGCCUUCGGGUUGUAAAGCACUUUUGGCAGGAAAGAAACGUCAUGGGUUAAUACCCCGUGAAACUGACGGUACCUGCAGAAUAAGCACCGGCUAACUACGUGCCAGCAGCCGCGGUAAUACGUAGGGUGCAAGCGUUAAUCGGAAUUACUGGGCGUAGCGUGCGCAGGCGGUUCGGAAAGAAAGAUGUGAAAUCCCAGAGCUCAACUUUGGAACUGCAUUUUUAACUACCGGGCUAGAGUGUGUCAGAGGGAGGUGGAAUUCCGCGUGUAGCAGUGAAAUGCGUAGAUAUGCGGAGGAACACCGAUGGCGAAGGCAGCCUCCUGGGAUAACACUGACGCUCAUGCACGAAAGCGUGGGGAGCAAACAGG